AUGGCGGCGGCCGGGACCCCGGCGGAGCUGCGAGUGCUGCUGGUGCCCCGCUCGGAGCAGCCGCAGGGCGCGGCGCGGGUGCGGCUGAGCAGGGCCCGGCACGCCCUGGGCACCGUGCUGCUGGCCGGCGGCAUCCGCCUGGAGUCCCUGGGGGCCGGCGGGAGCGGGCAGCGGGGCAGCGUGCUGCCGGGAGCCUGGGCUGACUUCCUGUGGGACAGCUCGGAAGAUGAUGGUUCCCAGUCCAACACGACAAAGCUCCUGGCUCUUGCUCAAAGCCAUGACCUGUUUGUCUAUGAGUUCAACGUAGAAGAUGGAAAACACAGCCCCAAUUCCCUGCACAGCUGUGAGGCAGAGACGCUGAAAAGGCUCCUUGAAGAUAAAAACAUCAGUCUGCCUUCAAUUUCUUCUGUGAAGAUUCUGUCUUUUGGAAACAACAAGUGCAAACUUCUGCUGAACCGGUUUCUCCUUGUGCACCUGGCCUUUCCUGGGGAAGGCUCACCCCCAGAGCCCUGUGGCUGCUUCCCCCUGGCCCUGCCUGCAGGAGCCGUGGGGAGGAUUGCAGACUCCCACUUCUGCAGGGGGAUCCUGUUCCUGUUGGACACUGCUGGCUGGAUUUACAUAUUUGACUGCUGUGAUGGUGCCAGCCUGGGGAAGGUGGGUGUAGCCCUGGGGGCUGGGCAGGGGCCGGGCCCAGCCCCUGUGUCCCCCCUGGCUGCCCUGGCAGUGUCCCCUGACCUCAGCACGGCCGUGGUGACCAACAGCUGCCACCGGGCCCUGGCUGUGCAGCUCAACACCUACUUCAGACAGUUCCCUGAACAUUUGUUCUGUAAGAGAGAUCCUGAAAAUCUGCCAGUGAAGCCUGCAGAGGGGCUGGAUGAGGAUGAGCUGGCCAGUUCUGAGCACAGCAUGGAGCUCCUGCCGCUGCCCUUCCGCACAGACAGGUCCUGGAAAGCACACCUGUCCUCACUGUGGGACAGAGUCAGGAGGAGAAGAACACCAGGCUCUGCACAUUUGGUGAACGACCUGAAUUUGCCUUGGUAUCAGUUUUUCACCCAUCUGGAAGAUCACGAUCCUGAAGUUUGUGAGGAUCCAGAGAGGAUGGUGGCCUUUGUGCCCCGGGCUGUCACUUGGGCAGCUUCCCCAGCACUCCAAGGGCAGCCUGGGGGUGCAGGACAGCAGCGGGCACAAAUCCCCGUGGGAGCAGCCCAGGACAGGGUGAAACUGGAGUGCAAGCUGGUGACUGGAGCCAAGGCAGUGUUUGUGGUGCAGGCACAGGACACGGGGCUGUCUGUGGCGCUCUGGGAUUUUGAGUCCCAGCAGGUGACGUGUUCCCGCUUUGGCAGGAGCAGUGCCUAUGUGGAGUGCAGUGCAGAGCUGCCACUGUGUCUGCUGCUGACAGAGCGUGGUCUGUCCCUGGUGCUGUUUGGGGUCACUCAGGAGGAGUUCCUGACCAGGCUGAUGAUGUUUGGCAGUGCUGGGGUUGUGGAUUCCCUGUGCCACCUCAAUGGCUGGGAGAGGUGCUCCAUUCCCAUCCAUGCCCUCGAGGCAGGUUUGGAGAAUCGCCAGCUGGACACGGUGGACUUGUUUUUGAAAAGCAAAGAAAGUGUUUUCAGUCUGUCUGCAGCCUGCCCUGGGGCUGCUGUCUCCCAGUCCUACCUGAGAAGUCUGGAGGAGCUCAGGCCAGCUCUGAACUUGCUCUGCUCAGCAAUCCAAGACAAUGAUAUGGAGCCCCACAGCAAACCCUUCUCUGAGCAGCUCCUGAACCUCGCCCUGACUUUCCUCACCAAGCAGCUGGAGGAAAUCUUUGUGCACACAGAGGAGCCUGAUGAGUUCCUGCAGAAGGCUGCAGAUAUUUUAACUGAUUACAUCAUUAAGCUGAGGAAGUUCCUGAGGAGAUACCCUCACCCAGCAGUGACCCCAGGGCAGGGAGCUGAGCUGGAUGAGGACCUGCCUGAGAUAGAGGAGAGCCAGGAAUGGGAAAAACUGACACCAGAGGAAGUCAUUGCUGAGGCCAUCCUAAGCAACAAAAUACCCGAGGCCCAGAUCUUCUUCAGAAGGCAGAAACACCCUGCUGAGAGUCUGCAGGAGUUUCUGCAGACAGGCUUGAGCCUGGUCUAUGACUGCCUGCUGAGGGGCAGCACCAGGGAGGCCUCAGAGCUGCUGAGGAACAUGGGCUUGGACGUGGAGCAGGAGCUGCACAAGAUCUGCCUGCACACGCAGGACAGGCACGUCAGGGAGCUCCUGGUGAAAGUCUUACAAGAAGAAAAUUACUUUUCUGAAAAAGAGAAGAAAAUUAUUGACUUUGUGCAUCAGGUUGAAAGCUUCUACUCAGAAUCCUUCCAGGAAAACAAAGAGACUCAAGCUCUUUCCAGGUGCAGCAGCUGGAGGAGGCAGCAGGAGCUGGCUGGGCCCCGGGCAGUGCUGGGCUCCCAGCUGGGCUGGGGCAGCCCCGGGGCCCCCCGGCUCACCCUGAGCCUCGGCUGGGCCCUGUGCUGGGAGCCCCUGCUGCAGGACAUGGUGCUGCUGCCCUGGAGAGCACAGCAAGAGCUCAAGAGCUGCAGUGCUGAGGUGCUCUGGAUGCACGCGACAGCCCAGCAUGACUGGCUGAGGAUUUGUUCCUGGAUUGAGGAGUCAGAGCCCAGCCAGGCUCCGUGUGGCAGCGCCGCCUGGCCCCCCCUGAGCCCUGACAUCGUGGACAGGAGCACUCUGUGCAGCCCCUACAUGAGACAGGACAUCCUCAACAAGCUGGCCAGAAAGGGAAUUUUUGUCCCUUCUGAGCUGGAAGAUUUCGAGCUGCUGCUCCAGAGGCUGUCGUGCCUGGGGGGAGUCCUGCAGAAUCCUCACCCUGUUCCAAAGUACAGCUCUGCCAGUGGCCUGGACUUCCAUGCUCAGUUUGUCCUGCACUGCCUGGAGCACGGCCUGCAGUACCUGCUCUACACUUACCUGGACUAUUACAGUUUAACCCCUGCAAACUGCCCUGUGCUGGGUAACAAGGAGCUGCAGGAAGCACAUCCCUGGUUUGAGUUCCUGGUGCAGUGCAGAGGGGUUGCCAGCAGUCCCCGAGAUCCCAAGAUGAUUUUCCAGGCCAGCCUGGCCAACGCUCAGAUGCUGAUCCCCAGCAGCCAGGGGGGUGUGAGCAGCAUCCUGCUGGAGGGCAGGACCCUGCUGGCCCUGGCCACCACAGUCUAUGGGCCUGGGGGCAUUGACCAGGUCCUUCAGAAUGAAGAUACAGAAAAACCUCUAAAGAAAGUUGAUCCACAGCUGCUGAAGAUGGCCUUGACCCCUUACCCCAAGCUCAAGGCUGCUCUCUUUCCCUCCUGCACUGCUCAUGGGAUUUUGCCUCCUGACAUCUCUCUGUACCACCUCCUGCAGUCAUUAAUGCCCUUUGAUCCCACGAAAUUGUUUGGCUGGCAGUCAACAAACACUCUGGCUGUGUCAGAUGCCUGGAGCCAGCUGCCCCACUUCUCCAGCCCCGGGCUGGUGAGCAGGCACGCCGUGCAGGAGAGGCUGCAUUUCCUGUUCUACCUGCGCCACGGCCGGCCCGCCUUCGCCUUCGGCACCUUCCUGGGCCAGCAGCUGGCCAGGAGCAAAGCCCCCAGGCUGCUGAUGCAGCAGGCGGCUCGCGAGGCCCAGCUGCUGGCUCUGAGCUGCUUCGGUGUCCCCUCGGUGGCUGCGGCCUGCGUGUGCUUCCUGGAGCUGCUGGGCCAGGACAGCCUGGGGCUGCGGGUGGCCCUCAGGGCUGCCGGCCUCAUCUCCAGCCACAGCCCCACCAGGGACUCGCUGGUGGAGAAGUUAACCAGGUUGGCUGAUGGUGACAAGGCAGCAGCAGCAGCAGUUCUGACCUCCUUGGAAGAGGCCUUCUGGGAUAACAUUGAGCAGCAAGGCAUAAAGAGGACAUCCAGUGAGUGCAGCAGGCAGUGGUCCCUGGUCGUGCAGUUCUGCAAGCUGCACAGCCUGGAGCUGAGCACGUCCUUCCUGAGGGAAUGUGCCAAAGCCAACGAGUGGCUGCAGUUCCUGAUCCAGAGCCAGCUGCACGGCCACCAGCCCGCCCAGGUCAUUGCCCUGCUGCAGGAUUUCCCUGCCGCGCUCCAGGAUCACCUGCAGCUGGCCCUGGGGAGGCUGCUGGCACCCGGGGCCGGCGCUGCUGCCAGGGCCCGUGCAGGGAGCCUGUUCCACACCCUGCUGCAGUGCCAGGAGCAGCCCAGCCCCUGCGGCUUCCUGCUGGCCCAGGGGCUCAGGGCACGGGCGCCCGUCCUCAGCGUGCUGGCAGCCUGCUGCCCCGGUGCCAGCCUCAUCUCCUGCCUCUGCGUGUGGAUGAUCACUUCUGUGGAUGAUGCCACCAGGGCUGAGGCCACUGCCCACACGCAGGGCAGGGCAGAGGGUCCCCAGUGGGACCUGCAGGACCUUGCUGUCAUCUGGAAAGUCUUCCUGAGGAAGCAGAAGAGUAAAACACUUCUGAAUGGCUUCCAGCUCUUUUUAAAGGAUUCCCCUUUGCUGCACAUCCUGGAGAUGUAUGAACUCUGCAUGAACUGUAAGAAGUACAACGAGGCUAAAACCAAACUGGACAAAUUUCAGGAAAGCCUCACAAACCCGGGGGCUGCAGGGGGAGCAGGCCCCGCGGUGCCGCUGCCGUGGCUGCGCUCGCAGGCGCUGUUCCUCCUGGAGCUGAUGCUGCAGCAGUGCCGCACCGACUACGAGCUGGGCAAGCUCCUGCAGCUCCUGGCUGCGGCAGAGAGCCUGCUGCCGGACGGCCCCCACCUGAGGAGGCUCCGUGCCCUCAGCGAGGCCCUGAGGGACUCCUCCAUCCCCAUCAGCCGCUCCCUCCUGACGCCCUGCAGCCUGGAGGCCUUCCAGGGGCAGUGCAGCUCCAUCCUGGAGCAGCUGCAGGAGAAGGGAAUGUUCAGCCUGGCUCGGGAGGUGGCGGCCCUGGCUGAGCUGCCCGUGGACAGCGUGGUCAUACACGAGGUUCUGAGGGAUCUACAUCAUUUAAGAGAGAGUGGCCAGUGGCAUCAGAGCCAGAGCAGAGCGGAGUUCUGGCAGAAGUGCAACGACACCUUCAGUAGACGUGGCAUCUGCAGCCGAGCCGCAGCACAGUUCUUCCUGCGGCAGGCUGACAGCGUGUGGGAGCCCUCGGGGCAGGAGAGGACAGCCAGCCUGAUGGAGAGGCAGCUGCUGCUCACGCUGGCCGGGCACUGGCUGGCCAAGGAGCCCGGGGUGGCCGUGCAGGAGCUGCAGGAGGUGGAGAAGCAGCUGUGGCAGUGCCGCGUGGCACAGCGGGCGCUGCUGCCCGAGGGCUCGCGGCCGUGCCCCGGGGCACAGUGCUUGGGCACGCUGGCUCAGCAGUUCUCCUUUGCCAGGCUGGCGGCCCUGGAGGCGGCCGAGCCCCGCGGGCUGCGGGCGCUGCCGGCCCGGGAGGCACCGGGGGCGGCACCGGGGGCCGCGGAGCGGGCGGCGCUGGGGACCCUGCUGGGCACCCUGCUGGAGCAGGGCAGCGUGCACGAGGCCGCCCGCGUGUGCCGCUACUUCCAGCUGUGGCACCGCGACGUGGCCCUGGUGCUGCUCUGCAGGGCCCUGGCCCUGGGCGAGGCGGGGCUGGAGCAGCUGCAGCCCGAGGUGCAGAGCCUGCUGUCGGCCGAGGCCAGCGCGGAGCCGGGCGCAUCCAGCCUGGAGGACUGGACCCCUCUGGGGUGUGGGGAUGAUGCCGUGGUGGCGGCACUGAAGGCCCUGGCAGAGGCAUGUGUCCAUGGCAGGGGUUACUGCAGGCAGGUCCUGUGCCUCUACGAGCUCUCCAAGGAGCUGAGCUGCUCCUUCGCGGAGGUGUCGGCGCGGGAGCCUCGCGAGGUGCUCGGGGCCAUCCUGGCGCGGCGGGGGCCGGACCGGGGCCGCAGGGCCCAGGCCUUCAUCGCCUGCCAGGGGCUGCCCCCUGCCACCGUGGCACCGCUGCUGGCACAGCAGAUCACCCACGAGCUGCUGGCCUCCGCCCAGGGAAAAGGGCAGAAGCAGGCUUGGAACCCUGCAGUGGAGAGCCAGGAGCUCCUGCAGCUUGCCAAGCUGUGCCAGGAUCACACCUUGGUUGGGAUGAAGUUGCUGGAAAAAAUCUCCUCAGUCCCCUGUGGGGAGUUGUCGUGCAUUACAGAGCUGCUGAUCCUGGCCCACAGCCUCUUCAGCCUGACGUGUCACAUGGAGGGCAUCACUCGGGUGCUGCAGGCAGCUCGGCUGCUCACCGAGGAGCACCUGGCUCCCAGGGAGGAGUACAGGCUGCUGGUGCGCCUGCUGACGGGCAUUGGCAGGUACAAUGAGAUGACCUACAUCUUUGAGCUGCUGCACCAGAAACACUACUUCGAGGUGCUCAUGAGGAAGAAGCUGGACCCGAGCGGGACGCUGAAGGCGGCACUGCUGGACUACACCAAGCGCUGCCGGCCCGGCGACAGCGAGAAGCACAACAUGAUCGCGCUGUGCUUCAGCAUGUGCAGGGAGAUCGGCCAGAACCACGAGGCUGCCGCCUGCACCCAGCUCAAACUCAUCGAGUGCCGGCCCUGGGAGGAGUCUCUUCAGGAUGUUCCAAAUUUAAAGAAGCUGCUGCUGAAAGCUGUGACUCUCUUCAUUGAUGCAGCAGAGAGUUACUCCAAGGACUCGUGCGUGCGGCAGGCGCUGCGCUGCCGCCGCCAGACGCGGCUCAUCACGCUGCAGCUGCACUUCCUGGGCUCAGGGCAGAGCACCAGGAUCAUCAACCUGGGCAGGCAGGAGCUGCCAGGAGCCAUCCUGGCCUUGCCCAGGUUCUACCAGGCAGCCAUCGUGGCCGAGGCCUAUGAGUUCCUGCCGGACUGGGCUGAGGUUCUGUUCCAGCAGGUGAUCGCCAGGGGGGACUUUGUGUACCUGGAGGAGUUCCGGCAGCAGCGGCCGCUGCGGCCCGGCCUCUUCGAGGAGGUGGCCAAGAAGGUCAAACAGCAGCACCCUCCUGCUGAUGCUGCCCUGAGGAACCUGAAGCGGUUCCUCACCCACUGUGAGGACAUCUACACCUACUACAGGCUGGCCUACGACCACAAGUUCUAUGACGUGGUGAACUCCCUGCUGAAGGACCCUCAGACUGGCUGCUGCCUCAACGACCUCUUAUCCAACUGAACUGCAGCUGAAUCCCAGCCCGGAGCACAGGCUGCAGCUCACUGCUGAUUUACACUGAUUUUAUCCAUGGCCUGCUCACAGGGCUCUGCUGCUCUGUAAAAAUUACUCCAGAAAACUGCACAAGGUUGCCCAGGCCAUGGGUAGACUCCCACCACACCUCAGCUUUGCAACUCUCCCUCUUCAGGUAUUUUUCCUGUCAGGCCCCAAGAAGAACUCUGCUCCAAGGCCAGCCUGGUGAAGUCCUCAAUAGUGAUUUUUAUUAAAUUAGUUGCUUUAUAAAACAUUGCAGAUGUUGUAAUUGUUAACAUAACAAUUUGCCCAACUGUAGGAACUGCUGCAGUUUGCUAAGCAAGUUUGGUUUUUAAUGAAAGAAAACGGCCGAGUUGUGAGAGACCCACCACAACCCAGGAGAGCCCCAAGGAAUUCAUGUGGCUUGGUUUUUUCUUUUACACUUAACCCCUUAAUUAACUGUUAAAGAACACCCAACCCAGACAGCUGCAUUAGUAGAAAUUUAAAUGACUGGAACUAAAUAAACUUCAUCCUUGAGACACAAGUGGGUUUUACCUUGCUCUGC